UACAGAGGUCUCAAGCGUUGUUCGGAUUCAUUGGGCGUAAAGGGUGCGUAGGUGGCGCGGUAAGUCGGGUGUGAAAUUUCGGAGCUUAACUCCGAAACUGCAUUCGAUACUGCCGUGCUUGAGGACUGGAGAGGAGACUGGAAUUUACGGUGUAGCAGUGAAAUGCGUAGAUAUCGUAAGGAAGACCAGUGGCGAAGGCGGGUCUCUGGACAGUUCCUGACACUGAGGCACGAAGGCCAGGGGGAGCAAACGGG
rnacentral:rRNA from 1 species